rnacentral:rRNA from 1 species
CCAAUAGCGUAUAUUAAAGUUGUUGCAGUUAAAAAGCUCGUAGUUGAAUUUCGGGAUCAUCAGGUUGGUCGUGCCUCUGGUAUGUACUUGCUUCGGUGGUCCCUCCUUCUUGAAGAACCGUAAUGCCAUUAAUUUGGUGUUGCGGGGAAACAGGACUGUUACUUUGAAAAAAUUAGAGUGUUUAAAGCAGGCAAUCGCUUGAAUACAUUAGCAUGGAAUAAUGAAAUAGGACGUUCGAUCCUAUUUUGUUGGUUUCUAGGAUUGACGUAAUGAUUAAUAGGGAUAGUUGGGGGCAUUAGUAUUCAAUUGUCAGAGGUGAAAUUCUUGGAUUUAUUGAAGACUAACUACUGCGAAAACAUUUGCCAAGGAUGUUUUCAUUAAUCAAGAACGAAAGUUAGGGGAUCGAAGACGAUCAGAUACCGUCGUAGCCUUAACCAUAAACUAUGCCGACUAGGGAUCGGAUGAUGUUAAUUUUUUAAUGACUCAUUCGGCGCCUUACG